rnacentral:miRNA from 1 species
UGCCCUAUAAAUGGUCCCCGU